GGCGAGUGGCGAACGGGUGAGUAAUACAUCGGAACGUGCCCUGUAGUGGGGGAUAACUAGUCGAAAGAUUAGCUAAUACCGCAUACGACCUGAGGGUGAAAGUGGGGGACCGCAAGGCCUCAUGCUAUAGGAGCGGCCGAUGUCUGGUUAGCUAGUUGGUGAGGUAAAGGCUCACCAAGGCGACGAUCAGUAGCUGGUCUGAGAGGACGAUCAGCCACACUGGGACUGAGACACGGCCCAGACUCCUACGGGAGGCAGCAGUGGGGAAUUUUGGACAAUGGGCGAAAGCCUGAUCCAGCAAUGCCGCGUGUGUGAAGAAGGCCUUCGGGUUGUAAAGCACUUUUGUCCGGAAAGAAAUGGCUCUGGUUAAUACCUGGGGUCGAUGACGGUACCGGAAGAAUAAGGACCGGCUAACUACGUGCCAGCAGCCGCGGUAAUACGUAGGGUCCAAGCGUUAAUCGGAAUUACUGGGCGUAAAGCGUGCGCAGGCGGUUGUGCAAGACCGAUGUGAAAUCCCCGAGCUUAACUUGGGAAUUGCAUUGGUGACUGCACGGCUAGAGUGUGUCAGAGGGGGGUAGAAUUCCACGUGUAGCAGUGAAAUGCGUAGAGAUGUGGAGGAAUACCGAUGGCGAAGGCAGCCCCCUGGGAUAACACUGACGCUCAUGCACGAAAGCGUG
rnacentral:rRNA from 1 species